rnacentral:rRNA from 1 species
UACGAAGGGGGCUAGCGUUGCUCGGAAUCACUGGGCGUAAAGCGCACGUAGGCGGACUCUUAAGUCAGGGGUGAAAUCCUGGAGCUCAACCCCAGAACUGCCUUUGAUACUGGGAGUCUUGAGUUCGGGAGAGGUGAGUGGAACUGCGAGUGUAGAGGUGAAAUUCGUAGAUAUUCGCAAGAACACCAGUGGCGAAGGCGGCUCACUGGCCCGGUACUGACGCUGAGGCACGAAAGCGUGGGGAGCAAACAGG